UACGAAGGGGGCUAGCGUUGUUCGGAUUUACUGGGCGUAAAGCGCACGUAGGCGGCUUUCUAAGUCGGGGGUGAAAUCCUGGAGCUCAACUCCAGAACUGCCUUCGAUACUGGAGAGCUUGAGUCCGGGAGAGGUGAGUGGAACUGCGAGUGUAGAGGUGAAAUUCGUAGAUAUUCGCAAGAACACCAGUGGCGAAGGCGGCUCACUGGCCCGGUACUGACGCUGAGGUGCGAAAGCGUGGGGAGCAAACAGGG
rnacentral:rRNA from 1 species